CCCCCUCUUGGGUGGCCCCCUCAAGACCUCCUUUCGGAGAAGAACCGGUUACCUAUGUAUCGUCCCUUGUUGGAUUUGGAUCGUGUAUCUCUUUGUGUUUUCAGAAUCUAGCACAUGUGUAAUUGUUCUUGUUGAUUUGAGUGAUUAUCUCGUGUCUUCCCCUUGUGUUUCUCCUCGUGUUCUUCGUGUUCUUAAUUGGGAUCCGCUCCUUUCGUGAAAGAUCGACUAUAUAGGGUUGCACCCUACAUCAUCUCCCCAGUUCAUCCUCCGUCCCUUGCUGCCCGAGAUUCUCAUCUGCUCAGGCCGCGAGGAAGCCACGUGAGGAGGAGAGACCUCGUCUCGAGAAUCCCGGGAGGAGGGGCUCAACCAGAGAGGAGCAGAUGCCAGCCAGGUAGUCGGCUCGGCUCGACGCCGUCCUUCGUGUCUGGGCCGCGGCAGACCCUAGCGCCGUCCUUCAGGUGUCUUCACGGCUGCAGGAUUGUAUGUGUUAAGCUUCAGGCUGAUGUAUUGGUUGAGAUCGAGGAGAGAGCGAGCCGUUGCAGAGGAGAGGGGAUACAAGGGUGGGCGGAGGUCAGGCAUUGCUAACAGAUUUGAGGCGGAGUGGGAAAGGUGAAGGUGAUGCCGGCCGGCUGGCGCCUCACCACUGGCUCCUGUUUUGCAGCGGCAAAGAGAACGGUGCCGAGGAUGUGUUGAUCUAUGCACGGCUGUCAGAAGUACAUCCUUGCUAUGAUGUAUUUUUUUGUGGCCUUCUCCAUUAGAAUAUUUCUCCUCAAUGACCAUAUCAACCUGUCUGGUGUUUGCACAUGUCAUUUUGGUUCAGGUUACCGCCAUUCCGCCUCUUCCUUGUGAUGGUAUAGGAGUACAUACUAAUUCGAUAAACAAGAGGCGAAGUUGCCAACGCCUGAGAUAGUGGUUCCUACCUCUGGCCUUCGCACCUUUAGUUCCGCAAGUAGUUCAGCAACUCAAAUGCGAUUUGCUUUCUCCUUGGUUUACAGUGGCUGCAGCCUCCUAUUUGUGACGUCGUAGCCCCAAAGGUAUCCUUCUCUCUAUACUGAAUCUGAUUCUUUGCAUUUUGGGUUUGGAUAUGUUUGCUAUUGCCAGCUCUAUUUGCACUCAAUCAAUAUAUGUGCGUGCGCUGGUAGAAGUGAAAGAGAAAUUUAGAGGGCGAUAAAGGAAUAUACAGAAGGUCCUGAGGAAAAUGAUACCUGUACAUAGUUUGGAUUACUCGUGUUUUUUUAUUUUGACUGCAAAUAACUUCUCUUUUCAACACACUUAGUACGUGAUCUAGCAAUCACAUUAUAAUAGAGUAAGUGAGAAAAAGCUCUUUAUUUGAAUGACCAAGAAUCCGUGGUGUUCUCCUGAACUGCAAGGAACACUCCACUACGAAACUCACUUAAGCAGGUUGAUAGAUGAUACCUUGUCUUGAGCCUAUUUUCUCAAAAUAAUGAGAGGCUGAAUGAUUCAGACACAGGCUGAACCAUCUUUCUCACCUCAUCAUUUCGUUACAUUUUGAUUUCAUUGUGUGGUGUGCUUCGAUCUAGGUGAGUUGAGUUGCUGCUUGGUUUGAGAUGUUGAUGUCGUUCGAGACGCCCGCUGGAUUCACCCUUUUCAAGGUUCUGAAUAAGGGCAAGCUUGACAAGGUCGAGCUGAGUGUUCGUCACCACCUCAGCUCUUGGUUUGGUUUGGAUUACUCGUGUUUUUUAUUUUGACUGCAAAAUAACUUCUCUUUUCAACACACUUAGUACGUGAUCUAGCAAUCACAUUAUAAUAGAGUAAGUGAGAAAAGGCUCUUUAUUUGAAUGACCAAGAAUCCGUUGUGUGCUCCUGAACUGCAAGGAACACUCCACUACGAAACUCACUUAAGCAGGCUGAUAGAUGAUAUCUUGUCUUGAGCCUAUUUUCUCAAAAUAAUGAGAGGCUGAAUGAUUCAGACACAGGCUGAACCAUCUUUCUCACCUCAUCAUUUUGUUACAUUUGAUUACUGAUUCGUCAAGGAGUUGUUGUUCUGCGUUCACUUAUUUCCCCAAACUGUAUGUACGCAUCGCUCGCAAAAGAAAUCGAUUUAAACCCUCUUCGAAAAAAUUUGGACUGUUGUAAGGUUGAAAAAAAAUGCAUGUGUUGUUCUGUAAGCACUUGAAUUGAAGGGCAAAAUGAAAAGUAACUCAGCAGUGGAUAAUCUUACCUCAUUAGCCUAGACAAUACUACAGGUGGUAUGCUGUUGCUGGCCCAUAUAUCCCAAGACAGGGUAUACAGAUAGCUCUUGACCUUGCCAGAGCGUAAGUAGUUCAUUUGGUUAAUCUGUUUUGCGUUUUGACAUGCAUCAUUUGUUGCAGACUGCUAGAUCGAUGCUACUUCCGUUAUUAUUAUUUUUUAUUGCCUAAGUGCCGAACAAGCACUCUUGCAUUGGAGAUGCCCUGAUUAGCUUCUUCUACAAAUUUGUCCCAAUGCAAUUAGCAGGCUAACAUAUUCGAAAAAUGAAAUUUUGAAUGACAUAUAGCAAGAUAUGCAUGUAUUCCUACUCUUAUCUUAUAUGGACAAAUAGAUCUAACAGCUGGCUUGCUUGCUUGCAGUGGUACAGGUGUGAUCUUCAUGGAGCUAGCCAUCAUUGGAUCUGGUAAUACAUAAUCACUUAUUCAGAGAGCCCGAGGUGAGAAGGGACGAGCAUCUAGAACACCACCACCUACUAAUCAGAGUUUCCUACCUUUCUUCUGCAAAUCUGGAAUGCCUUUAUGGCAUGAUCAUGUGAAAAAAGUACCUUGAUGCAGUAAUGGAUUUGAUUAUCACUGGUUACUCUGUUUUCACGAAUUACUAUCCAACUGUAAGUCUGUUCUAUACCCUAAGGCCCAUGUAAAUCUGAUAGAAGAUUAAGCUAUUUAAUUUUAACUGAAAAGGAUAAUAUUCUUUCAGUCGCUUGAAUCUGUCCAGACCUGAAAAAUACUUAUACUUUGAAAGCUUGAUAUAUGAGUAUGUAAUUUUACAGGUAUGUAGAUAGCCGACAAUGUUAUUGUUCAAAUGUACUCGAGCCAGGUUUUCGGUGUUUCAUUGCAACCAAAAGAAUUGGUAAUAUUGUUUUGAUGAAAACAUGGUCGCACUUGUCGGUGUUGUAGUGGCAUAGGAAAAUUUUCCCUAAGAUCCACUAUGAAGUUGAUUGAAAGUCCAUUUUCCCUAAGAUCCACUAUGACAAUGAAAAAGAUUUCUGAAAACUGUGUCACCAUAAAUGUUCCAUCAUUGUCCAUAGCAGUCCCAUGCCGUAUUAAUUUCAGAAGAAUAAAUUCUUAUUCAGAUGUUCAUUGUGUUUUUAUGUACUGCUAUAUCUAAAAAAGCAAGUUUCAGCUAAAACCAGAGCCGUGGUUAAGAUACUCUUCGCACCUAGGAUAUGUGUAUAUGUUCAGAUUGCUAACUUUAAACUAUAGUUUUAGAAAAUGUGGUGCCCUCGCUUAUUUUUCUAAUGCAUGAACUUAGGGUAAAUGUUUAUGUGUAAUGCGUGCUUGAUUUUUUUGUGGUUCUGGUGGAUUUUGAUUUUCUCCACCAUGCUUCUCUCCAACGGGAUGAGUCUGUUUUCGCAGCAGCGGGUGAUGCAUGUGCUUAUUGUUGGCUGUUGCUAUGUGGUAUGCAUUUUCUCAUUGUUGGUUGUUUGUUGUUUGCUAUGAUUAAGAUACAUUGGCAUGUACAUUUUACAUCAGUUUUGUUUUCAACACCACCUAUCACUGUAUGAUUUGCCGUUAAUAGAGUAGUUUCUCCUUUAUUGCAUUGCAUAAUGCUAGCAAGCUACAUUGCACCAUAAACAAAAAUAAUCCUCUUCCAAGGUUAAACCUGUUUUUUUCCUUCUAGCAAAGAUCUUCUCUGGAAAAGAUCAAUUCCGUUAGCCUAUAAUAUUGCAGUUCUUUCGUAUCCUUCAAAGAUUUAUAAAUAUUUUCUGUUUCCACUCCCUUCGUUCUCAUGGAUUCUGAAAAAAAAAUGUUUUUAUUGAUUAAUAAUAUUGCUUUCCCUUUCAGUAUUGUGGUGGUCGAUGCAUGUAGAAUAUACAGACUUUCCUAGAAUGGCGCUUUUAGUUUUUCUGCUUGAUGUUAGUUCAUUGAUGAGAACACCUAUGUACAUGAUUGCUGCAUGCAUGAUAUCCUACUAUAUACUGAGAAAUAUUUUUGUUUUCCGGACAUUGUUUUCUAAAUCCUAUCGACAUAUUACCUGACAUGGUCUUUGAAGUUUCUAUUUUAUAGCGAGCUUUGCACUGGUCAACUUGAGUAUGGUAUGGUUAUCUUUUCUUUUGUUUACAGGCGAUGUGUGGUAGAAGCUGUACUCACAGGAAGACUAUCGUGCUGUGUAUAAACCACGUUCCACGAUUCACUUCUGUUAUGCAUAUUUACUUUCCAGUUUUAGGACUGAAAUCCAUCCAUUGUAAUGAAUUUGGUUGUAUGGGCAUUACCUAUUUGACUUAGGCUUGCUUCAUCACAUAUAGACUGCUUUUCUUUUCCCCAUUGCUUGUAUGACCUAAAACUAUCAUGUAUACGAGGCAAGUUAUUA